CGUCUAUAUACGUAUAGCAUAUCAAUAAGCGGAGGAAAAGAAACUAACUAGGAUUCCCUCAGUAACGGCGAGUGAAGCGGGAAGAGCUCAAAUUUGAAAUCUUCAAGGUUCUACCUUGACGAAUUGUAGUUUAAAGAAGUGUUUUCUGUUGGAGUUUUGGUAAAAGUUCAUUGGAAUAGGACAUCAUAGAGGGUGAGAAUCCCGUAUUUGACCAUUAUUUCCAACUUUGUGAUACACUUUCAAAGAGUCGGAUUGUUUGGGAAUGCAGUCCAAAAUGGGUGGUAAAUUUCAUCUAAAGCUAAAUACUGGCGAGAGACCGAUAGCGAACAAGUACCGUGAGGGAAAGAUGAAAAGAACUUUGAAAAGAGAGUUAAACAGUACGUGAAAUUGUCAAAAGGGAAGCGUUUGACACCAGUGUUGUUUUCUCGAAAAUCAAUUAAAAAAGAUUGGAUUUUGUGUUGUAUUGACUUCAUCAGCUUUCUGCACUCUUUUCUUGUCUUUUUUAAUGCACUUUUCGUUUAACAAGUCAACAUCAAUUUCUUUUGUUGUAAAAGGGUCAUUGGAAGGUGGCUUUCUUUUCGGAGAAAGUGUUUAUAGCCUUUGACUUCUGCAGUCGGAGAGAUUGAGGUCUGCAGCGUAGAUCCUUCGGGGUUAGAUGCAUUUGUGCUAAGUUAUAGCCUUUCAUAGACAACUUGUUGACUAUGAUCAGUCAUGUAGCUUACUCGCUUAUGUCAUUUUACCUACGCUUAGGAUGUUGAUCUUGUAGUGCGUGCGC
rnacentral:rRNA from 1 species